UACGUAGGGGGCAAGCGUUGUCCGGAAUUAUUGGGCGUAAAGAGCUUGUAGGCGGUUUGUCGCGUCUGCCGUGAAAAUCCGGGGCUCAACCCCGGACUUGCGGUGGGUACGGGCAGACUAGAGUGUGGUAGGGGAGACUGGAAUUCCUGGUGUAGCGGGUGAAAUGCGCAGAUAUCAGGAGGAACACCGAUGGCGAAGGCAGGAUCGUCUGGGCCACUACUGACGCUGAGAAGCGAAAGCGUGGGGAGCGAACAGG
rnacentral:rRNA from 1 species